CCUACGGGGUGCAGCAGUGGGGAAUAUUGCGCAAUGGGCGAAAGCCUGACGCAGCGACGCCGCGUGAGGGAUGAAGGUCUUCGGAUCGUAAACCUCUGUCAGCAGGGAAGAACGGUCACUGUGCUAAUCAGCAGUGAAUUGACGGUACCUGCAAAGGAAGCACCGGCUAACUCCGUGCCAGCAGCCGCGGUAAUACGGAGGGUGCGAGCGUUAAUCGGAAUUACUGGGCGUAAAGCGCUCGUAGGCGGUAUGUCAAGUCAAGGGUGAAAUCCCCGCGCUCAACGUGGGAACUGCCUUUGAAGCUGGCAAAAUGGAGUGUGUGAAGGGAUAGUGGAAUUCCAGGUGUAGGAGUGAACUCCGUAGAUUUCUGGAGGAACAUCAGUGGCGAAGGCGACUAUCUGGCACAUAACUGACGCUGAGGAGCGAAAGCGUGGGUAGCAAACAGGAUUAGAUACCCUUGUAGUC
rnacentral:rRNA from 1 species